UUUUUUUUUUUUGUGUUAUUGUUAGUUGUUUUAUAAUGCGGUAGGAAUGUUAAUUUUCUUAAAAAAAUUAAAGAACAAAAAAAAAGAUUUAUUUAGGCAUGGUUUAGUAUUGUUGUUACUUUUUUAAAAAAAUUUAAAUGGAGUUUUUAUAUGAAAUUGUGUAAAAAAGGAUAGUGGAUUUCUUACAAUUCUUGUAUUUAGUGUUUGUUUAAUAUAAAAAUAAAAAUUAGGAAGUAAUUUUUUUUCACUUUGAAAAUUUUUACACAAAUUUUCAAAGUGAACAAAAAAAGAAGAAGAAAGAAAUAGGACUUUUUUCUUUUUGUUGCUUAAGCAAUUCACUAUCCACUCUCUUAUAUAAAAAUUCUAUGGUAAACUUCAAUUACUGCUCAUGUGGCUCUGUUAUUUGAAAAGUUUCACUUUACUAUUUAAAUAUUUGCUAGUAAAAUGCUAUGUUUCCCUACUUUGCUGCCGUAGUUUGUAAAUUAUAAUGUUUUGCUAUCCUAUUUAAUUUUCACGUAGUAAACGAGAAAAUUAUGAUGGAACAGAGUGUGACAUACGCUAACCUAGACAACACUAUUGAAUUAAAAAGGAAGAAGAAGAAGAAGAAGAGUUUGAGAAGAGAAUGUCUCCUCCCCCUCUCUCCUCUCAUACUCUCCUUGCUCCCUCUUCAAACCCUCAACAAACCAUGGUACAGGCAUCUAGCUAAUGAAUUUGCGAGAACCUUCGGUUCGCCUUUUCAUAGGAUUCAAUCUUCCAUGAUUUUGAAGUUUAUCUUGGGUUUGUUUUGGUAUUUACUCCAUAUAGUGGUGAGCUUGGUGCAUAUUUGGUCAUAUGUGAUUCAACAGUUGCGGUGCUACAUCAUUUCAAGUGGGUUGUUUGCAAAGUAUCGAAAUUUCUCUCUGAGCCGUCUUCGGUACUUGGCUGUCGUAGUGGACAGUCAAGAAGCUAAGCAUACCGCGAAGAUCAAGCAACUUCUGUCGUGGUUGUCGGCUAUUGGUGUGAAGCAUGUCGCCCUUUAUGAUGCAGAAGGUGUGCUGAAGAAGUCGAUUGAUUUUGGUCAGACGAGAUUGAGAGAUCGAAGUGCGGGAACAUGUCUUGAUGGUGAUGUAAACUGUGUAACUUCUCGUAAUUAUGAGGAAAUGUCGAUAGAGUUACUUUCUUUUACUGAUGGUAAAGAAGGGAUUGCCAAGGCAGCUAGCUUCCUAUGCUCAGAUCACUUAAAAAAUGAUUCUGACGGCUGUGGCAGAACCGAGACUUUAUUCACAGAAGCCAACAUGACUAAGGCUUUAAAAGCUGUAGGUUAUUAUGGCCCAGAGCCUGACCUCCUCCUUGUCUAUGGACUUGCCAGAUGUCAUUUAGGGUUUCCUCCAUGGAGACUGCGGUAUACAGAGAUUAUGAAUCUGACCGUCACUAACUGUCGCAGUUUCCAGAGGUUUAAAGAGAUCAACACAAAUACUUCUGUAAGCUUAUUUUUGGAAACAUUUGCUAACUGUUUAGUCAAUCAAGAAAUUUUCCCAUUUCAUGCAUUCAAUCGAAUUUUCUGUCAUUCGUGCUUUUUCAGAAUUCCCUGAUUCCUCUGUGUUUCGGUACACAUGCCACAAAAGUUGAACCACUUUAGUUUUAAAACUACUUUAUCAGAUGCAUCCUAUAAUCAAAUAACAUAAAUCAAUUUGUUUUCUCCGUUCUUACUUUAAGGAACCACUUUGCAAACCGAGAACUAAAAACCAAGUUUCUGUUAAUUUUGCCAACUGAGCCGAACUAAAUUAGCCAAAAUGUUUUUGUUCGGUGAGGUAAUACAUUUAUCUGAUUCCUUUUGCCCUUCUGUUUAUUUUGAGAGUAAACUAGCUGAUCUAGGACUUAAUUAUGUAAUCAGAUUUCUCAAGUAUCUCUUGCUGUUUGAAUAAAAAAAAGGUUAUGUUCUUCCUACUGAGAAUGGUAGUGAAAACUAAGAAGUCCUAGAGUAGCCUAGAGAAAUUAGAAUUUACAUUUGUAAUCUGCGAUAGAUAUGAAUGCAGCAAUUGCAUAUACUGUACAUAUCUAAUGUAGUACUUCACCUUUCUUCUUUUUUUUCUCUGUGUCUAUCAUAUUCUUUUCUUUUAUAAUCAAUCCUAGACUUAAUUAGUUAAUUGCUAAUGGUUGUGUUUUUUAUUCAGGCAUAUGGGGCCGCUGAAAUCCAUGAAAUAUAUUUUUACAAAUAAAAGAAUGUGCUAGCUUAGCUAUGGAAGUGUUCUUUUUUUGUAUAGUUUUAAAUUGGACUGUUUUGGAAAGGAUGCCGGUUAAAAUCAGGGUUUCUUUUUCUUCAAGUUGAUAGAGCUACGAGUGGUAGAUUACAAGUGAAGAAUUUUACUAUUUCAAAAACAAAACAUUUAAUUAUGAAGAGUGAAAUGUGCAUAAAUCUAUGUAUUCGUCAUCAGUAACAUAUUGUGCAUCGUCUAGGAAUCUGACCGUCACUAACUGUCGCAGUUUCCAGAGGUUUAAAGAGAUCAACACAAAUACUUCUGCAUAUGGGGCCGCUGAAAUCCAUGAAAUAUAGCGCCAUUGUGAAGGCCCUGUAUGAUUUUUCAAAGAAGUACCAAAACUAUGGUUCUUAGCUGAAAUGCUGAUAUGAUAAUGAUGAAGAGGGGCUUCAGUUUUAUUAUUCGGAAUUUCUCUAAAUUUCAAGAGGCCGAAUUACUAUUCAACUGGUUGAUUUUUUACAGGAAUGGCAGAUGAAUACUGCUUCUGAUAGUUUUUUUCCCCCUUUUCUUAUGUCAUAUUAUAAUUUAUAAUAGCUUCACAGAAUCAUAAGAUACUAGUGAAGGCCCGCGCUUCGCGGCGGGAAAUUUGCGUAAAUUUUAAAAUAUUGUGAACAAAUUUUUUUAA